rnacentral:rRNA from 1 species
GACGUAGGGCGCGAGCGUUGUCCGGAUGUAUUGGGCGUAAAGAGCUCGUAGGCGGCUUGUUGCGUCGACCGUGAAAACCCGGGGCUCAACUUCGGGCUUGCGGUCGAUACGGGCGGGCUAGAGUUCGGUAGGGGAGACUGGAAUUCCUGGUGUAGCGGUGAAAUGCGCAGAUAUCAGGAGGAACACCGGUGGCGAAGGCGGGUCUCUGGGCCGAAACUGACGCUGAGGAGCGAAAGCGUGGGGAGCAAACAGG